AAACCUUUUAUUGAAGCUUCGGCAGAUUUAGAUUGUUUCUAGUGGCGGACGGGUGAGUAACGCGUGGGUAACCUGCCUUGUACAGGGGGAUAACAGUCAGAAAUGACUGCUAAUACCGCAUAAGCGCACAGGACCGCAUGGUCCGGUGUGAAAAACUCCGGUGGUAUAAGAUGGACCCGCGUUGGAUUAGCUAGUUGGUGAGGUAACGGCCCACCAAGGCGACGAUCCAUAGCCGGCCUGAGAGGGUGAACGGCCACAUUGGGACUGAGACACGGCCCAGACUCCUACGGGAGGCAGCAGUGGGGAAUAUUGCACAAUGGGGGAAACCCCUGAUGCAGCGACGCCGCGUGAAGGAAGAAGUAUCUCGGUAUGUAAACUUCUAUCAGCAGGGAAGAAAAUGACGGUACCUGACUAAGAAGCCCCGGCUAACUACGUGCCAGCAGCCGCGGUAAUACGUAGGGGGCAAGCGUUAUCCGGAUUUACUGGGUGUAAAGGGAGCGUAGACGGAUGGACAAGUCUGAUGUGAAAGGCUGGGGCUCAACCCCGGGACUGCAUUGGAAACUGCCCGUCUUGAGUGCCGGAGAGGUAAGCGGAAUUCCUAGUGUAGCGGUGAAAUGCGUAGAUAUUAGGAGGAACACCAGUGGCGAAGGCGGCUUACUGGACGGUAACUGACGUUGAGGCUCGAAAGCGUGGGG
rnacentral:rRNA from 1 species